UAAGGAACAAAAGCAGACAUUUAGUCCACACACCUCCUAGUUCAGUGUUAUAAGGUGUGCAAGAAGGGAAAAAUUCACCACUUGAGAGAGCUGCAAGGGAAGUAGCAUUCUUGGGGAGAAGGCUAGGUUACAGCUGGAAUAAGAAAGAAAGGAACAUUCACAAGAUUGAGAAUAUAAAGGAUUUUCUAACGACUGAGUUCCAGAAGUUACAAUGAAUGGAUUUCAGAUGAUGAAAGAUAUCUCAUCUGUAAACUUUCUAGCCUCUUCUUAUUCUAUGGGGAACAGAAUGCUGACACUCUGAAUCAGGACCCAGGAAAAACGACAGCACAAUUAAGCAGGAAACAGUGAUCAACGGGGGACAACUACGAU
rnacentral:lncRNA from 10 species